GGCGCCAAACACUCAUUCCUUACACGCUGCAAGAAUGUGAUAAUACAUUUGCUUUCGGGUCCAACAGCCUUGCUUCCUACCUGCUGAAAUGUGACCGGCUGCCACAGAGGCUUUGCUUCCCCGGGGACGCACACGGUAAACAAGGAACACCACGUCAUCUCUGAAGCAAGCUAGUCUAUGUGAUGUUGGCAUGGUGAUGAUGAAGGCAAAUACAUCAUCUAUAAAGGUGUUGAAUGCCUGCAAUGGAAGAUAGAUUGUGAUAGUAGAAGAUAAAUAAUAUUUUCAAGUCAGAACUUUGAAAAAUAACACUACAUCAUAUUACUAUGUAUAUGUAAUGUGGAGAGAAUGGAUAUAACUAUACAAUGAAGUCAAUGUUUGCAAUAUUCCAUAUUCAGAUGUGUGUUUGUUUGCACUGAGAGGAGUGGUUGAAGAUGUAACAAUGAUGCGAUUUUUGCUUUAGGCACAAAUGGUAAUAAAACAAAUGACCUGC